rnacentral:rRNA from 1 species
UACGUAGGGUGCAAGCGUUAAUCGGAAUUAUUGGGCGUAAAGCGCGCGUAGGCGGCCACGCACGUCCGUUGUGAAAUCGCCCGGCUCAACUGGGCGGGGUCAGCGGAUACGGUGUGGCUCGAGCAAGCUAGGGGGCAAUGGAAUUCCCGGUGUAGUGGUGGAAUGCGUAGAUAUCGGGAGGAACACCAGUGGCGAAGGCGGUUGCCUGGAGCUUUGCUGACGCUGAGGCGCGAAAGCGUGGGGAGCGAGCCGG